AUGGCCGUACCACCCUAAACACACCCGAUCUCGUCAGCUAAGCAGGGUCGGGCCUGGUUAGUACUUGGAUGGGAGAAUAGUAUUAAAUCUCACACCUUUUUUCUCUGUUCCAUCCCAGGUAUGAAUCAUC
rnacentral:rRNA from 1 species